AGUGAACGCUGGCGGGAGGCCUAAUACAUGCAAGUCGAACGGUAACAGGUAGCAAUACGCUGACGAGUGGCGCACGGGUGAGUAACACGUACACAACCUGCCUAUGACUGGGGCAUAACUUCGGGAAACUGAAGCUAAUUCCCCAUAACACUGCAGAAAGGCAUCUUUCAGCAGUUAAAGCCCCGGCGGUCAUAGAUGGGUGUGCGUUUGAUUAGCUAGUUGGUAAGGUAACGGCUUACCAAGGCUACGAUCAAUAACUGGUCUGAGAGGAUGAUAAGUCACACGGGCACGGAGACACGGGCCCGACUCCUACGGGAGGCAGCAGUAGGGAAUAUUGGACAAUGGAGGCAACUCUGAUCCAGCCAUCCCGCGUGAAGGAUUAAGGCCCUAUGGGUUGUAAACUUCUUUUCUCUGGGAAUAAAAACCGGGACUUGUCCUGGCUUGAAGGUACCAGAGGAAUAAGCACCGGCUAACUCCGUGCCAGCAGCCGCCGUAACAC
rnacentral:rRNA from 1 species